rnacentral:misc_RNA from 1 species
GUAGGUGAACCUGCGGAAGGAUCAUUAAAGAGUAUAGGGGCUUCAUGCCCACUAACUCCACCCUUUGUUUACAUACCAUUGUUGCUUUGGCAGGCCCGUCGCAAGACAACCGGCUUCGGCUGGUCAGUGCCUGCCAGAGGACCUAAAACUCUUGUUUAAUCAUAUUGUCUGAGUACUAUAUAAUAGUUAAAACUUUCAACAACGGAUCUCUUGGUUCUGGCAUCGAUGAAGAACGCAGCAUCUGACUGAC